UACAGAGGUCUCAAGCGUUGUUCGGAUUCAUUGGGCGUAAAGGGCUCGUAGGCGGCCAACUAAGUCAUACGUGAAAUCCCCCGGCUUAACCGGGGAACUGCGUCUGAUACUGGAUGGCUUGAGUUCGGGAGAGGGAUGCGGAAUUCCAGGUGUAGCGGUGAAAUGCGUAGAUAUCUGGAGGAACACCGGUGGCGAAGGCGGCAUCCUGGACCGAUACUGACGCUGAGGAGCGAAAGCCAGGGGAGCAAACGGG
rnacentral:rRNA from 1 species